GGCUCAGAUUGAACGCUGGCGGCAUGCUUUACACAUGCAAGUCGAACGGCAGCACGGACUUCGGUCUGGUGGCGAGUGGCGAACGGGUGAGUAAUACAUCGGAACGUGCCUAGUAGUGGGGGAUAACUACUCGAAAGAGUAGCUAAUACCGCAUGAUAUCUACGGAUGAAAGCAGGGGACCUUCGGGCCUUGUGCUACUAGAGCGGCUGAUGGCAGAUUAGGUAGUUGGUGGGGUAAAGGCUUACCAAGCCCGUGAUCUGUAGCUGGUCUGAGAGGACGACCAGCCACACUGGGACUGAGACACGGCCCAGACUCCUACGGGAGGCAGCAGUGGGGAAUUUUGGACAAUGGGCGAAAGCCUGAUCCAGCAAUGCCGCGUGCAGGAUGAAGGCCCUCGGGUUGUAAACUGCUUUUGUACGGAACGAAAAACCUGAGGCUAAUAUCCUCGGGUCAUGACGGUACCGUAAGAAUAAGCACCGGCUAACUACGUG
rnacentral:rRNA from 1 species